rnacentral:lncRNA from 1 species
GUGGGGUUUGUGUUUUCUUUAGUUUUUAUGUAGUGUUUUGUGUAUUUUUGAUUUCUGUCAGUCUGUGUGUCUGUUUGUUUCGUUUUUAGCCAUGGCAUUAUUACUUUAUUUUAGUCUUAUGAGUUUGACUGUCAAUUUGGUAUCGUUCACCUUUCUUUAACGAUUCAAAGGUCUGCAACAGUUCUCAGGUUGACAAUAAAGGUCUCUUUAGUGGUCCUUGCGGGGGAAAAUACAAAAUUUAAAAAAAACAA